rnacentral:rRNA from 1 species
AGAGUUUGAUCCUGGCUCAGGAUGAACGCUGGCGGCGUGCUUAACACAUGCAAGUCGAACGAACCUUCGGGUUAGUGGCGGACGGGUGAGUAACGCGUGAGAAUCUGCCCUCAGGAGGGGGAUAACGGCUGGAAACGGCCGCUAAUACCCCAUAUGCCGAGAGGUGAAACGAGUUUUCGCCUGAGGAUGAGCUCGCGUCUGAUUAGCUAGUUGGUGAGGUAAUGGCUCACCAAGGCAUCGAUCAGUAGCUGGUCUGAGAGGAUGAUCAGCCACACUGGGACUGAGACACGGCCCAGACUCCUACGGGAGGCAGCAGUGGGGAAUUUUCCGCAAUGGGCGAAAGCCUGACGGAGCAACGCCGCGUGAGGGAUGAAGGCCUCUGGGCUGUAAACCUCUUUUCUCAAGGAAGAAGACCUGACGGUACUUGAGGAAUAAGCCACGGCUAAUUCCGUGCCAGCAGCCGCGGUAAUACGGGAGUGGCAAGCGUUAUCCGGAAUUAUUGGGCGUAAAGCGUCCGCAGGCGGCCUUUUAAGUCUGUUGUCAAAGCGUGGAGCUUAACUCCAUUUCGGCAAUGGAAACUGGGAGGCUUGAGUGUGGUAGGGGCAGAGGGAAUUCCCGGUGUAGCGGUGAAAUGCGUAGAUAUCGGGAAGAACACCAGUGGCGAGGGCGCUCUGCUGGGCCAUAACUGACGCUCAUGGACGAAAGCCAGGGGAGCGAAAGGGAUUAGAUACCCCUGUAGUCCUGGCCGUAAACGAUGAACACUAGGUGUCGGGGGAAUCGACCCCCUCGGUGUCGUAGCCAACGCGUUAAGUGUUCCGCCUGGGGAGUACGCACGCAAGUGUGAAACUCAAAGGAAUUGACGGGGGCCCGCACAAGCGGUGGAGUAUGUGGUUUAAUUCGAUGCAACGCGAAGAACCUUACCAGGGUUUGCAUCCUGCGAAUCCCUUGGAAACUUGGGAGUGCCUUCGGGAGCGCAGAGACAGGUGGUGCAUGGCUGUCGUCAGCUCGUGUCGUGAGAUGUUGGGUUAAGUCCCGCAACGAGCGCAACCCACGUCUUUAGUUGUCAGCAUUGAGUUGGGCACUCUAGAGAGACCGCCGGUGAUAAACCGGAGGAAGGUGUGGAUGACGUCAAGUCAUCAUGCCCCUUACAUCCUGGGCUACACACGUACUACAAUGCUACGGACAAAGGGCAGCAAACUCGCGAGAGCUAGCAAAUCCCAUAAACCGUGGCUCAGUUCAGAUCGUAGGCUGCAACUCGCCUACGUGAAGGAGGAAUCGCUAGUAAUCGCAGGUCAGCAUACUGCGGUGAAUACGUUCCCGGGCCUUGUACACACCGCCCGUCACACCAUGGAAGUUGGCCACGCCCGAAGCCGUUACUCCAACCCUUGUGGAGGAGGACGUCGAAGGUGGGGCUGAUGACUGGGGUGAAGUCGAAACAAGGUA